rnacentral:tRNA from 1 species
GCGAGGAUGGCGGAAUUGGCAGACGCGUACGGCUUAGGACCGUAUGCCGAAAGGCGUGUGGGUUCAAGUCCCUCUCCUCGCA